rnacentral:misc_RNA from 1 species
AUAAAUAAUUGGUACAAAUAUUAGGGAUGAGAUUAAGGAUGACAAAUAAAAAUAUAAAAAAAAAUCAUCAAUAUCAAAGAAGUGAACUGUUACAAGAGAAAAGAAGCAAUACAAAUCACCAUCACCAACACAUAAAAUAUUCUUGCCGAGUCUGGUGCAAUUCUGUAAAGCCCAAACAGAUUUAAACCCCAAUGCAUUCACUAAGAUAUUCAAGUAACUUCCAAAAAUAGUACCAAAAAUAAUGAAACAGUUCCAGAAAUAAAAAAGAAUAGAAUGAAAUUGAAGAAUAACACCCGGUAGUGUUAAAGGACAGUACAAUUAGCUACUUUCAAAAUUAAAACGACAUAAGUCAGCAGCAUUCCAGUAGCUAAUAUUUAAGAAUAACACCCAGAAACAAGAUGAAAACACCCAAAAAAAAAAGUACCUAAAUUAAAGAAAUGUGAAGUGGGUUGAAACACCUAAAAAUGAUGUGUCUAUUUGAGAUGAAUGGUUUACUUGAGCUCAUAAAUGAGCAGAUAACGGGUUGGGGAAGCCGAGGAGAGACAGCCAUGAGAAUUGAGGAUGGUGAGGAGCUAGGAGUAAAAUCGAGUAAGACAGCCAGGAGCAGCGAAAUGGGUGGUGAAUCGAGGAAGCAGGUUGAGGGAAGAAUCAAAGGAAAAUGAGAAAGUUUGAGGAAGAUCAAGGAGGAGAAAUGGGGGCUACGGCUGGGGGGCUGCAAAAAAGUGAAAAAUAUGUUAAAAGCAUUAGGUUUAGGGUUACUUUUUUACUUUAAAAACUAUGUAGUUUUGAUUAGGUUUAGGAUAGUAACCUUAAAAUUUCGUGGUUUUAUAUAAAUAAAAUGAUUCUAAUUAAUGUUUUAUAUAAUAUUUUAUUUAAUCAUUAGUUUAAUUUAAUUUAGUUGACAACUUCCCAGUAAGUCUCUUAUCCUUACGUUGCUCCAACUCAAGUACUCAACACAUUUAACCUGUGAGCUAAUGGGAUCAUGUGCCACUAUUUCUACCAAAGUAAUUAUUGAUGGUAAAGGCACAUCUAUUUCUUUUAAGGCAUUGUAGAGUUCGUAUGUCAGGUGCUAUGAGCGAGCAUUAGUUAGUCCCACAAGUACCAUUACCCAUACAUUGUACUGGAAUCAAUGGUUGAUUGCCAAUCCCUCAUGACCAAACAUCUCCCCCUCAAUAAUGGCUUUGAGACUCCAAGCUGACAACUUGUUCUGAUACCAAGUAACCUAUCUUAAACUAAUCUAACUCGAGCACAUUUAACUUGGAAGUUCUUAGGGUCAUGUGCCAUAAUUUCUACCAAAAGAAAUUAUUGAUGGUAAAAGCACACUCUAUUUUCUUUAAGGUAUUGCGGAGUCUCGCAUUUUAUGUCGUAUUGCCAUCCUCCUUUUUGGCACAUCGUUCGGUCCCUAGAUUAUCAUGUCCAUACAUGGUACUAGAGUUAAAGAUUAAUUGUUGGUCCCUAUAUGAUGAACAAAUUUAUUACUUUAUAU